rnacentral:rRNA from 1 species
GACGAACGCUGGCGGCGUGCUUAACACAUGCAAGUCGAACGGUAAGGCCCUUCGGGGUACACGAGUGGCGGAACGGGUGAGUAACGCGUGAGUAACCUGCCCAUAAGAGGGGGAUAACAUCCGGAAACGGGUGCUAAUACCGCAUGGUUUUCUUGAUCGCAUGAUUGAGAAAGGAAAGGCGGCCUUUGUGCUGUCGCUUAUGGAUGGACCCGCGGCGUAUUAGUUAGUUGGUGAGGUAACGGCUCACCAAGACGAUGAUACGUAGCCGACCUGAGGAGGGUGA